UUUUCUCGAAACUAAGUGUUUUUCUUUAGAAUGAAAAUAAAUUAUUUAAGGGGAUCGUACUUGUAGCCGCUCUUUAAACAGCUUUUUUCCUUAGGAUAAUACUGUAUAGAUUUCAUCUUUUACAUCCCAAAAUGUCAAGUCUGAAGUUGAGCAGUUUUUUGGCAGGAAAGUAAAGCAUUAGAGGAAAUCAGGCACCAUAAUUGCACUAAGGUGGACUUAUCGGUAUGUCACGGAAGAAAAAAUCUUCGAUGUAACAUGAGUGGAUGACACAACAUUUGUAUGUUUUUACACUACUCGAUCGUUCGAUGGCAUGAAUCACUUCUCUGCGUAUUCAUAGUCCGUUUUGAGAUCGGUAAUAAGUGAUGCAAGUCGAAAUUAAGAAGCGUAAUCUGACUUCAAGAGUUCCGGGGAAUGUGACGGUGAAACUGCGACGCGUCCCAGCAAAAUAGCUUUUAACUCACCUCGUGAAUUUUGGUUUUUGUACUAAAAGACCUGAGUGAUUUCAAUCAAAAACCUAGUUUCUAAGUUACAUUUUUUGAGUGAUUUUGUCAGGAUUUUUCGACGUCAUCGACCAGAAUCAGACUAACUGCAUCAUCUGCCGUGUUAAGAAGAAACGCCGCACGGUGGAUCGAGUCGAUUGAAGAGAUCGAACAUGCAAUUUUUGACUAAAACUGCAAAUUUUGAUGUCUAUUCCGUCUCAUUUUAAAUUUCAAGGGGUGCUUUUGAAAGAAACUUUCACGAGGAAACCAUUGGAACCACUUUUAGAACCUCAAAGUUUUGUAUAAACGGAGUUAUAAGCGUUUAAAGUUUCCAAAUUUUGUCCAACCUCUUUUAUUGAUUCGAUCUACGGUGCGCCGUAUGAACAGUCCACAGUUUCCUCAUUUCCUCCAAUUAAAUGCCUAUUUUUGAGGAGUGUUAUGAAUAUUUUCUCUUGAAAUAUUCAGAUGAUUUAGAUCUGAUCGCAAAUACUAUUCUCUGAAAAAUUGGAGGAAAAGUAUUCUCAGAUUUCCCUGAAAGUUCAUAUUUUAUCCACGGCGGAUUGGAAACCUUCGAAGACUCAUACGAGUUUUUCACCUUGAGACAUAGUGUAACGUUCCCCUUGCUUUGUUUUUAUACAAAAUCUGAGCAAUUUUUUACCCAAAAUUGUGUUGAUAUAUUUUUUUGACCCAGGUGAAAGUUACAAAAUUUCAAGGUGUAAUGUUGUUUAGUGUUUAACCGCAAAAACUAAAACAACGAGAGGAAAUCAGGCAACGUGUAAUACAGUUAGGUUAUUUUUUGUCAUAAAUACAUCCGUUUGAAGUCUUAAUUCAUACUGUUGAAAUGGAUAUUCUCUCUAUAUGGCGCCUUCGGGAUGAGAAGAUUUUACGCUUCCAGUGAUCUCCUUGUCGUCUCAAAUUAUCUUUGCUGUGAGUUUCUGGUCUUAUUUCAUCGUUUUACGUGAGUUUAUAGUAGUUGUUGUGCAUGUGCAAAAUACUGUUAGACAACAGCUAGCUUAAUGGUGAUGUGACAUUCCCAUGAUUUAGCCUCAAAAUUUCACGUACGACGCUGCGAACUUAUUAACCCGUAGCAUUAUAUAGUGCACUGUAAGAAUAUCAUUAACCUUGAAAUCUAUAGACAAGACUUUAGGCAAAAAAGGGCAAAGGGAAAAUGGAGCAACAAUAUUGUUUGAAAAAGCUGGAAAUCGUAGACUAAGGGGGAAAACGAUGGACCUCCUAAACUAAAAUAAAGGGUCUUUCGUGGGUUGCCGUCAAAUUAGUCCAUCACUUUACUCCUUUGACUAUUGCAACCUCCCGCUCCCACUAAUAGAAUCGCUUUGUUUUCUCUUUGUCUCCUUUAUCGAUCGCUUUAUCUAUCAAUUUCAAUACUCAGCUAACUGUGGAAAUGUGAUGAAACUCAAAAUUUACCUUGAAAAAUGAAAAAUCAGCGUUCUCUGUGUUCAUCAAUUUGAAUUUCCCGCUUGAAAAAGCUUAGGUCUACUUGUAAUCCUACCCGUCCCUUAGAAUAAUGGCAGUGUUCUUUACUGUAAAAUAUGUUUCUUUUAUGUGCUAAACAUCUCUUGAAAAAAUAAUAAAUACCGUUCAUCAGUA